ACACAGACACACCCCCAUCUGUUAUCGUCGCACAAACACACCAGGCUAUACGAUCUCCCCACAUACAUCCUAGAACAUUCAAGAUAUCAACACAAAAUUCGCUUCAAGGCUGUGCCUUUCCAUAUCCGGUGAGAAGUCGUUGGGGAAACCGCACGUGAUAUGCCUUGAACAGCCUGGGCAUGGCAUCUCCAAGGGGCUCAGUCAUCACACAGGCGCACAGCCAGUCUCAUCAGUAGCAUCCUCCUCAUCGACUGAUCCACAUACGUUGACAGGGCCGUGAAAUAGCACCAACAGCCCUUGCUCGGAUAACAGUGAUAACAGUGACAUCGGAGAUAACUGGAUAACAGUGACAUCGGAGAUAACAGGAUAACAGUGACAUCGGAGAUAACAGGAUAACAGUGACAUCUGAUAUAACAGGAUAACAGUGACAUCUGAGAUAACAGGAUAACAGUGACAUCGGAGAUACCAGGAUAACAGUGACAUCUGAGAUAACAGGAUAACAGUGACAUCGGGGAGGAUAACAGGAUAACAGUGACAUCGGAGAUAACAGGAUAACAGUGACAUCGGAGAUAACAGGAUAACAGUGACAUCGGAGAUAACAGGAUAACAGUGACAUCGGAGAUAACAGGAUAACAGUGACAUCGGGGAGGAUAACAGGAUAACAGUGACAUCGGAGAUAACAGGAUAACAGUGACAUCGGAGAUAACAGGAUAACAGUGACAUCUGAGAUAACAGGAUAACAGUGACAUCUGAGAUAACAGGAUAACAGUGGCAUCUGAGAUAACAGGAUAACAGUGACAUCGGACAUAACAGGAUAACAGUGACAUCGGAGAUAACAGGAUAACAGUGACAUCGGACAUAACAGGAUAACAGUGACAUCGGGGAGGAUAACAGGAUAACAGUGACAUCGGAGAUAACAGGAUAACAGUGACAUCGGGGAGGAUAACAGGAUAACAGUGACAUCGGAGAUAACAGGAUAACAGUGACAUCAGUGCUCAGUCUCCCCAGCAGGGCGUCAGAUAUAGAAUACAGAAACCAGAGGACAUGGAAUGCAACAACAGAGCCGUAUGACCUUCAGUGCAACACGAUAUUGAAAACAGUGAUUAAAGUAUGCCGUCCAAAAAGGGCAUGUUAGUGUGUGUGACCUUGACCUUCUGUUGUAGUACAUACUUCCUCUACGCCUACAUGACACGUGACAUGCUAACGAGCUGCAUUGCCAGGGGAGGUCACUCAGGGAGUUACGGUUAUGUACCACGGGGGCACCCUGACAGCAAGGAUUUAAAUAUCCGGCGAGCGAAGGCGCUAUUUUUUGAAAGGAUAUCAGAAGAAGAAAAGGAUAAGUUUAGGGAUCUAAUGAAAAUCUUUAGCGAAAAGGUGUCGAAGAAUGUUACAUAUUUCAUGUACGCGGGGGCGCUACUUGGAUCCUACUCUCACCAUGGACUGAUUCCUUGGGACGACGACAUGGACAUCAUCGUCAGCAACAACGACAGGCCGGCACUUCUGAAAUCACUGCAGUCUCUCCCUCCAGAAUACGAGCAUUACACUGGGUGGAACACCACGUGGAAGUUCUAUCAUAAAAACUCCCCCAAAGCCGCCAAAAAACCAUGGAACUGGCCCUUCGUGGACAUAUUCUUCUAUGUGGAAUAUCCCACAUAUAUUCAAGAUGCCAGAGAAGCCAAAAAGAAAUUUAACAAAAGUGUUGUAUUUCCGCUGACCACAAGGCCCUUCAUGGGUAUGAUGCUCCCAGCUCCAAGGAAGACGCGAGAUUUCUUAAAAACAACCUAUGACAUCGAUAUGUGUGUUUCAAACUCGUAUGACCACAGAAUGGAAACAGAUGUACCUUCUUAUUGUAGAGCAAGGGUCCCCUGUUAUCUUCUCCAAGACAGAUUUCCAUUUGUAGUAAGAAAGAAUUCGGAAAACAAAUCUCUUGAAACAUUGGAAGACAGAUACCAUAAUAUAUAUAAUAAGGACGUUUAUGCACAAGAAAGUGCAUGAACCAUAGUUGUUGGUGCUUUAUGAAGGCUCUGUAGUAUGCGUUCACUCACUCGUAUCUAUUAUAGUUGUGUCGGGUUUUAUGCUUCCAGACAUACCAGUCUUAUUCACACCUCAUUUCUACGGAAAAGUGCAUAUUAUGUGAACCUGCUCGCCUCAUGAGCAGGGGAUUUGUACGAGAACAUUUGUUAUUGUUGUAGUCUGUUUUUGUUGACUUUGAAGAGUUUCAGCAGAGAGCACACUCUAAUUACUGUAUUCAAAUACUUGUUCGCACAAACCGAUUCCUAUUAGUCUUAUAAACAGAAGAACGAAUAAUUUUAGGUGUCACCAUUGUUUCAGUCUGAAGGAUCCUGUAGUGUAUUGUGGGAAAUAGGUGAUGGGUUUUCAUACUUUACUGAUUUUGGGAAAACUAUUCAGCCGCGUCAGAUGUUGGCGACUAUAUGUAUACACACAACUUAUAUUUAUUCAGUAAUCUGAUUUAAGAUUAUACAUGAUUUUUUAUGUGCCAGUAUUUACAAGAGCAACGAAAUGCGAUGUCAUAACGGUGUUUUUCCUCGUUAUAUUUCGUUUAUACUUGUGCUUAUUACAGCCGUCUCGUUGUUUUCCAGUCAAUAUCAUUGUACCAGCAUGGAGACUGUGAUAUUUCUUACUGGAUCAAUCAGAUCAGUUGCCUUCUUUGCCAUGUACAAUCAGCUGUACAAAGUCCGUCUACCAUCAGAACGUGAUGUCACGUUUGUAAAAUGUGUUCCAUGGAGAGUGUCUUUCAGCAUCAUGUCUUGUUUCCCGAGUUAUUCCAUGCAUGAUGUAAGCCCUUGAUGUACCCAGACCGAGCGUCGAUACGCCGCAACACUAAGUCGUAAUAUGUAAAGGACUCGUUCACUGAGUAUGCUGUUAAUGGCGUAUUCUUCGUCAAGUCCCGUAAACAACUUGGGACUAUCGUUGUAUGUGGGAGAUAAAUCCCGAUAACAACUUAGGUGUAUCGUUGUAUGUGGGAGAUAAAUCCCGAUAACAACCUAUGUGUAUCUUUGUAUGUGGGAGAUAAAUUCCGAUAACAACUUAGGUGUAUCUUUGUAUGUGGGAGAUAAAUCCCGAUAACAACUUAGGUGUACCGUUGUAUAUGGGAGAUAAAUCCCGAUAAAAACCUAGGUGUAUCGUUGUAUGUGGGAGAUAAAUCCCGACAACAACCUAGGUGUAUCGUUGUAUGUGGGAGAUAAAUCCCAAUAACAAUCUAGGUGUAUCGUUGUAUAUGGGAGAUAAAUCCCGAUAACAACCUAGGUGUAUCGUUGUAUGUGGGAGAUAAAUCUCGAUAACAACCUAGGUGUACCGUUGUAUGUGGGAGAUAAAUCCCGAUAACAACCUAUGUGUAUCGUUGUAUGUGGGAGAUAAAUCCCGAUAACAACCAAGGUGUCUCGUAUGUGGGAGAUAAAUCAACAAAGUUGUGUCACCUACCUUGCAGUAUCAGUUCAUUACUGAGUUCAACAAAGAUGGACAUCUGCAGUGAAUACAGAGAGGAACACCAACAUUACUACUGACCUUCCCCAAGUUCUGUUCUGACUCAUCAGUAGUCAUUCUUAUGUACAAAACAUUGACUGUAUACCCAGUAUCGUCUUUACCUUGGGAGCAGUUAAAUAUUUAUGAGUUGUUAAUAAAGAAAUUGUGAGAGAAA